CCGUGUUCUACUUCGUUCAGUGCAAAUGUGAGUCUCACUUGGAGGCCGAACGAACUUCGGUUCAUCUGAAAUGGAAGUUUUCCGUAUCGAUCAACCUCUGUACCAGAACGGACUACAAAUUUUAGGAGUACGAGAUGGUUAGAAUCCAGACACGUAAACCUGAUGCUACAAUGAUGUUUGAAUUUACAAGUCAAUGCUGCUACCAAUUAUACGAUCCGGAUGUCUUAAUGAGGUAUAACCCGGCAAGAAGCUUAACUAUAACUUAAAUUUAUCGGCGUAAAAGCGCGCCUCGAAUUUACAAACGACACGAACCGAGAUAAGAUUCUCUUGAUUAAGGUAAGGGGGAUAUAAAAUGAGAACUGAAACGGGGACAGCCAACAUUAUCGUAUCGAACAGAGGUUUGGAAAAGUUAAUGGAAAUUGAAUGAACCGAAAAAGGGUAGUCAGAUGACUGAAUCCAAUUAGCACGAUUAAUUAAUUCAUCGUCACAAGUUAUGUAAGAGAGUACGAGUGUCCUGGACUUUCUACAGCCUCCGAGCGCCCACGGGAUCUUCGAAGAGCCAAACAACCUCGGAAAGCGUGGAUGGAGACAUCUGAAAAAUCGACGGGA